GGCCUACCAUGGUGGUAACGGGUAACGGGGUGUUAGGGCACGACACCGGAGAGGGAGCCUGAGAAACGGCUACCACAUCCAAGGAUGGCAGCAGGCGCGCAAAUUACCCAAUCCCGACACGGGGAGGUAGUGACAAUAAAUAACAAUACGGGGUUCUUCGAAUCUCGUAAUUGGAAUGAGUACAAUUUAAAUCUCUUAACGAGGAACAAUUGGAGGGCAAGUCUGGUGCCAGCAGCCGCGGUAAUUCCAGCUCCAAUAGCGUAUAUUAAAGUUGUUGCAGUUAAAAAGCUCGUAGUUGAAUUUCGGGGUUAGCAGGUCGGUCGUGCCAAUGGUAUGCACUGGCUCGCUGACUCCUCCUUCUUGUAGAACCGUAAUGCCAUUAAUUUGGUGUUGCGGGGAAACAGGACUGUUACUUUGAAAAAAUUAGAGUGUUUAAAGCAGGCCAACGCCUGAAUACAUUAGCAUGGAAUAAUGAAAUAGGACGUUCGAACCUAUUUUGUUGGUUUCUAGGAUUGACGUAAUGAUUAAUAGGGAUAGUUGGGGGCAUUAGUAUUCAAUUGUCAGAGGUGAAAUUCUUGGAUUUAUUGAAGACUGACUACUGCGAAAGCAUUUGCCAAGGAUGUUUUCAUUAAUCAAGAACGAAAGUUAGGGGAUCGAAGACGAUCAGAUACCGUCGUAGUCUUAACCAUAAACUAUGCCGACUAGGGAUCGGAUGAUGUUAAUUUUUUAAUGACUCAUUCGGCGCCUUACG
rnacentral:rRNA from 1 species